rnacentral:rRNA from 1 species
AUUGAACGCUGGCGGCAGGCCUAACACAUGCAAGUCGAGCGGAUGAAGGGAGCUUGCUCCUGGAUUCAGCGGCGGACGGGUGAGUAAUGCCUAGGAAUCUGCCUGGUAGUGGGGGAUAACGUCCGGAAACGGGCGCUAAUACCGCAUACGUCCUGAGGGAGCAAGUGGGGGAUCUUCGGACCUCACGCUAUCAGAUGAGCCUAGGUCGGAUUAGCUAGUUGGUGGGGUAAAGGCCUACCAAGGCGACGAUCCGUAACUGGUCUGAGAGGAUGAUCAGUCACACUGGCACUGAGACACGGUCCAGACUCCUACGGGAGGCAGCAGUGGGGAAUAUUGGACAAUGGGCGAAAGCCUGAUCCAGCCAUGCCGCGUGUGUGAAGAAGGUCUUCGGAUUGUAAAGCACUUUAAGUUGGGAGGAAGGGCAGUAAGUUAAUACCUUGCUGUUUUGACGUUACCAACAGAAUAAGCACCGGCUAACUUCGUG